UAUUUUGACAUUGCACUUCUCGUAAUCCAAUUUUGGUUUCAAUGCUACUCUCUAUCUGAUGUUAACCCCUGCUACAUACAGUAUGUGGGCCUGCUCGGCAGUGAAACCAAAAAUAAAUUGGAGCACAUUUUCAAAUUUCAAAAGUGUGGCUAAACCUGAUAACCUUUUGUGUGAUCAGUUACCAAACAAGUACGUCUCAGCUUCAAAACGGUCGCUGACUAAAAUAGACAUCUUGGAAUGUGUCGCAAAGGUGCCGUGUGAUGUGAGGAGGCCAGCGGGAGGAAAGUGAGCUGAUCGGAAUGUAUUACAACCACAGCGUUUCACCUGCAAACACAGACAGAAGAUUUAUUGGCUACUAUGCUCUCAUCCCAUUGUUCUUCCUCACGCUGCCUUGGUUGUGUUUAUGGAGAACAGAAUGAGGUAAGAAGACUUUUCUUUUUACACGAUUCAGAAUAUUUGUCUAUCAUUCUGUGUGUUGUUAGAUUAGAUGAGUUGCGUCACCGGCUAAUUCCAGUGUAUAGCUACGACCCUGCAGAAGACAAGUGGGUGGGUGAUGAACUGGAGAGUGAUGAUGAGUUGAAGGUAUGGAAACAACCUCAGUAAUAGAAACAAAGACCCUCAACGAUUUAAAGUUGAUGGAAAAUUUGUUAUGUAUUAAAUUAAUACAUGCAAUGAUGUAAAAUUUUACGAUGAAGAAGUAAUUGUUGAUAAAACUAUUUUGUUGGAUAAUGGGAAUCGUAAAAGGUUGGUAAAGAUAUGAGCUCAUCAAGACUCUUUCUCUCAUAGGAACCACUGUAUAAGGAAGAACAAUUCAACAUACAGUAAAGUGUAGCUAUAAAGUGUGAAAUAAAUGACAAUUCAGCAAAUGACAAUUCAUAAUAUCAAUAAAAAUAUUAUUUCUUGCAC